rnacentral:lncRNA from 1 species
UUAAGGAAGCUGGCUUGUCAUGUUUUGGAUUUUUUGUCAGAUUUUCGGAAUCCUCUGGUUUUAUCCAUUUGAAUGCCUUGAAAAAAUUUGCCCGGUCACCCCCAUUUUUCUUUUUUUAAAUCUUUUACAUGUAUAAUGAUAAGCCAUCUGUAAAAGUCUUAUAAAAUUUUAAUUACUUUUUAAUAGUUUUUGAGAACUUCAACUUGUCAAUGAUAAAGCUAUGAAAAGUCAAGAGAGAAUAUUUUCCCGCCAAAAUUUCAUUGGCUAAUAUCUCAAAAACAAGCACGGUGACCUAUAUAUUUUUUUUGCUCUUUGGAUUCUUUUAUUAAUCCCUUAUCAAUAUAAACUAAUGUUUUGAAAAGUUAAUUACUUUGAAACUGAGAAGCGAGCUCCCUUAAA